GUGCUCACUUCAGCAGCACAUAUAUUAAAAUUGGAAUGAUGUGAUAAAGAUUAGCAUGGCCCCUGUACAAGGAUGACAUGCAAAUUUGUGAAGCUUCCAUAUUUAAA